GAGAAUAAUUAUAGCACUGCACAACAUAAGAGAACGUACCACACGUAUCUGCACCACGAUCAACUCGACCCUUUUAUGGGAAUGAGGAUCAGCCCUUCCGCCAUAGUCCGAGUCCGCGUUUACGUCGCACCCCGCUCACCCGACGACUGACGGCCGAGCCCGCAACCCCGCGCCGCGAACGACUCGCUCCGCGACUCGAAUAUCUCUCACAAAAAAUACGCCGUCAUCAUCGAAAUGGCGGCAGCGGAUAUAUUCAGCGCAGGGUGCACGUUGUCCACAAUUAUGGCCGCUAUAAAAAGCAUGAGGCUCGUGAAAAGCUCCCACGAGAUGCUACUGGAGCCCUGCGAGGGAAGGGGACGAGCAUUCCUGGGAACGGCGGGAGGUGGCCCACUUUUGUACUUUUUACCGUCGACCAGCGAGGGUGGUGACCGACUGUGUUUUUUUUGUCCGAGUUUUGCUUGUGUUUGUAGACUGCCGCCGUCUUAUUGUGUCCAUUCUAUUAAGCAUUAACGUUGACGAUAAAAUUGUAAUUAGGAACCGCAUAUGUUUUAUUUCAAGAAGCUUAUGUGUUUUUGAGAAUAGUAAAGACUUUCAUGUGCUGCGACA